GACGUAGGGCGCGAGCGUUGUCCGGAAUUAUUGGGCGUAAAGAGCUCGUAGGCGGUUUGUUGCGUCUAUCGUGAAAACCUGCAGCUUAACUGUGGGCUUGCGGUGGAUACGGGCAGACUUGAGUUCGGUAGGGGAGACUGGAAUUCCUGGUGUAGCGGUGAAAUGCGCAGAUAUCAGGAGGAACACCGGUGGCGAAGGCGGGUCUCUGGGCCGAUACUGACGCUGAGGAGCGAAAGCGUGGGGAGCGAACAGG
rnacentral:rRNA from 1 species